rnacentral:misc_RNA from 1 species
AAAAUGCGAUAAGUAAUGUGAAUUGCAGAAUUCAGUGAAUCAUCGAAUCUUUGAACGCUCAUUGCGCCCGCCAGUAUUCUGGCGGGCAUGCCUGUUCGAGCGUCAUUUCAACCCUCAAGCCCCCGGGUUUGGUGUUGGGGAUCGGGCUGCGGUUCUACCGCGUCCCGGCCCCGAAAUCUAGUGGCGGUCUCGCUGCAGCCUCCAUUGCGUAGUAGCUAACACCUCGCAACUGGAACGCGGCGCGGCCAAGCCGUUAAACCCCCAACUUCUGAAUGUUGACCUCGGAUCAGGUAGGAAUACCCGCUGAACUUAAGC